rnacentral:rRNA from 1 species
ACUCCCACGGGAGGCAGCAGUAGGGAAUCUUCCACAAUGGGCGCAAGCCUGAUGGAGCAACACCGCGUGAGUGAAGAAGGGUUUCGGCUUGUAAAGCUCUGUUGUUAAAGAAGAACACGUAUGAGAGUAACUGUUCAUACGUUGACGGUAUUUAACCAGAAAGUCACGGCUAACUACGUGCCAGCAGCCGCGGUAAUACGUAGGUGGCAAGCGUUAUCCGGAUUUAUUGGGCGUAAAGAGAGUGCAGGCGGUUUUCUAAGUCUGAUGUGAAAGCCUUCGGCUUAACCGGAGAAGUGCAUCGGAAACUGGAUAACUUGAGUGCAGAAGAGGGUAGUGGAACUCCAUGUGUAGCGGUGGAAUGCGUAGAUAUAUGGAAGAACACCAGUGGCGAAGGCGGCUACCUGGUCUGCAACUGACGCUGAGACUCGAAAGCAUGGGUAGCGAACAGGAUUAGAUACCCUGGUAGGAUAGCG